GAUGCCCCUUAGGUUGCGGGCAACCAGAGGCCUCACUCGUGGGCAGGAAGCAAGGGCGGACCCCGAGAGAUGACUGAUUGUGGGGGUGGGGACCGUCUGCUCCUCCUAAUGGCUGGGGACCGUGCACGUCUGCGCGGGCCGGACCUGCUCUUCUCGGGAACUUGCGCGGGAGGAGGCCCGGAGCUGCGCCGCUUUACCCUCUGCUCCCCGGUGCCUAAAACGCACACGCAUCAAAGUCACAGGACGAGUUAGAGGAAUAUACAAUAGAGUUUUCCAGAGGCUGCUGGAUGAGUCAUAUUGUAACAGAUGCAAUGGGAACAUGGAGCUAUGGGAACUCAACUGCCUUAAGUGAAGCCAGACAUUAAGGAGAUUUGAAAAAAUAUAAUACAAUGCCACUCUUCUCCCUAUUUCUGUUUUGGAAAAUGCUGUUUUUCGUAAAGUAGGUGCUUUUUAAAAAAUAUGUUGUAUUAGUCAUGAGGGCUCUGGUAACAACAUACCACAAAUGGGGUGGCUUAAACGACAUAAAUUUAUUGUUACAGUUGUGGAAGCCAGAAGUCUGAGAUCAAAGUGUUGGCAUAGUUGGUUCCUUCUGAGGGCUACAAGAAAGUAUAUGUUCCAUCCCUUUCCUUAGUUUUUGGUGGUUUGCUGGCAAUCUCUGGCAUUCCUUGGCUUGUAGAUGUCUGACUUUGUCUUCAAAUGUCAUUUUCCCUGUAUGCGUGACAAGUUGUCUGUCUCCAAAUUUCUGUUUUUAUAAGGACAACAGUCAUAAUGGACCAGGGCUCACUCUAAUGACCUCAUUUCAGCUCUUUAAAGACACUGUCUCCAAAUAAGGUCUGAGGUACUAUGGGUUAGAACUUCAACAUAUCAAUUUUGGGAAGAGACACAGCUCAACCUAUAUAUUAACAUAGAAUAGAUUUUGAAAAAUUAUAUUAAUAAAAUAUAUUAAUUUUUUUCCGUUUUAAUUCCUAAUACACCAAAUAUUGAUAGGACCUACAUAAACAAAAACUGUUUAGGAGCCGGGCACGGUGGCUCACACUUGUAAUCCCAGCACUUUGGGAGGCGGAGGUGGGCAGACCAUGAGAUCAAGAGUUCGAGACCAUCCUGGCCAACAUGGGGAAACCCCGUCUCUACUAAAAAUACAAAAAUUAGCCGGGUGUGGUGGCAUGCGCCUGUAAUCCCAGCUACUCGGGAGGCUGAGGCAGGAGAAUCACUUGAACCCGGGAGGCAGAGGUUGCAGUGAGCUGAGGCCACGCCACUGCACUCCAGCCUGGCGGCAGAGCAAGACUCUGUCUUGGGGGAAAACAAAACAAAACAAAAACUGUUUAGGGUCUUCAGUGACUUUUAAGAGUGUGAAGGGGUCUUGAGACAAAAAACGUGAGACACACUUGUCUACAGAAUAGGCUUUUUUUUUUUUUUUUGAGACAGAGUCUCACUCUGUCGCCCAGGCUGGAGUGCAGUGACACGAUCUCGGCCCACUGCAAUCUCCACCUCCCGGGUUCAAGCGAUUCUCCUGCCUCAUCCUCCCAAAUAGCUGGGAUUACAGACACCCGCCACCACGCCCGGCUAAUUUUUUGUAUUUUUAGUAGAGACAGGGUUUCGGCCUGUUGGCCAGGCGGGUCUCUAUCUCCUGACCUGGUGAUCCGCCCACCUUGGCCUCCCAAAGUGCUGGGAUUACAGGCGUGAGCCAUCGUUCCCGGCCUAGGCUUUAGGCAAGCUUUGGUAUUUUGUAUUCAUGUUGAUCAUUUGAUACAGAGUACUUAUUUUUACUUAAACAGAUGUAGUAUUUUUAUUUCCUCUUUGACCAAAUAGCUGUUUCAUAUAUAUUCUAAAAUACCCACAAUUAUUAAUUUGUAAUUUUGUUGUGCUAUUAAAGUAUAUGAUAAUAUGAUUUUCUACUUUUUUGGUUUCUUUCUUCUUUUUUUUUUUGAGACAGAGUUUCGCUCUUGUUGCCCAGGCUGGAGUACAAUGGUGCGAUCUUGGCUUACUGCAACCUCCGCCUCCUGGGUUCAAGCGAUUCUCCUGCCUCAGCCUCCCAAGUAGCUGGGAUUACAGGCAUGCGCCACCACACCCGGCUAAUUUUUGUAAUUUUAGUAGAGAUGGGUUUCACCAUGUUAGCCAGGAUGGUCUCGAUUUCCUGAACUUGCAAUCUGCCCAACUCGGCCUCCCAAAGUGCUGGGAUUACAGGCAUGAGCCACCGCGCCCGGCCUUUUUUUCUUUUCUUUUCUUUUUUUUUUUGAGAAGGAGACUCGCUCUGUAGCCCAGGCUGGAGUGCAGUGGCACGAUCUCAGCUCACUGCAACCUCCGCCUCCCAGGUCCCGGUUCAAGCAAUUCUCCUGCCUCAGCCUCCUGAGUAGCUGGAUUUACAGGCACGCACCACCACGUCUUUUAGUAGAGACGGGGUUUCACCAUGUUGGCCAGGCUGGUCUUGAACUCCUGACCUCAUGAUUCUCCCGCCUCAACUUCUUCUUGAUAAGAAUUCUGGAAAAUCAAAUCUUCAAGGACUAACCCACUCCCUUUAAAUCCAAGGGAUUAUUUUUAUUUUUAUUUUUAAAGAAACAGGGUCUCACUCUGUUGCCCAGGCUGGAAUGCAGUGGUGCAAUCUCAGCUCACUGCAGCCUCAACUUCUCAGGCUCAAGUGAUCUCACACCUCAGCCUCCUGAGUAGCUGGAACAACAGGCGCGUGCCACCACACCUGGUUUUUUAUUUCUUGCAGAGACAGAGUCCUGCCAUGUUGCCCAGUCUAAUCUCAAACUCACGGCCUCAGUUGAUCCUUCCACCUGGGCCUUGGUCUGUUAGGAUUACAGGUGUAAGCCACCACACCCAUCCAACUCCAGGGGAUUCUAGGAAGCCAAGGAACCUUCCUGCCCUGCCUGCUGAAAUAAACUCAAACUGGCCAAACAGACAAGUCUGACAUCUUUUCUUUAUGCUUUUUUUUUUUUUUUUUCCUGUCAAGGAGUCUCACUCUGUUGCCCAGGCUAGAGUGUAGUGGGGCAAUCUCGGCUCAUUGCAAUCUCCAACUCCCGGGUUCCAGCGAUUCUCCUGCUCAGCCUCCCAAGUAGCUGGCAUUACAGGCACCCACCACCACGCCCAGAUAAUUUUUGCAUUUUUAGUGGGGACAGGGUUUCACCAUGUCGGCCAGGCUGGUCUUCAACUCCUGACCUCAAGUGAUCCGCCCGCCUCGGCCUCCCAAAGUGCUGGGAUUACAGGCAUGAGCCACUGCGCCCAGCCUGCUCUUGCUUGAUUUUUUAAAUUGUCAGAUCACUAAUACAGAGACACCGAAUCAAAAGGAGAGUAGGACAGUUGUUCAUAAUCCCACAAAUCAAAUGCUUACCUCCUCAUGUACCAUUGCUUCUCUCACCUAUAGGCACACAUUUGAAAUAAUUUGUUAGUUAUCCAAAUAAGAAGUGAACCACCAGGGAAUUAAAUGCUAUGGGCUUAAAAGGGAAAGUACUCAUCUCCUGCCCCAGUCACUCAUCCUCUCAGCCUCCCGACAUCACUUUUUUUUUGAGAUAGGGUCUCACACUGUCACAUAGGCUGGAGUGCAGUGAUAUAAUAACAGCUAACUGCAGCCUCAACCUCCUGGGGUCAAAGAAUCCUCCCAACUCAGCUUCCUGAGUAGCUGGGACUUCAGGUAUGUGCUACUAUGCCCGGCUAAUUUUUGUAUUUUUUGUAGAGACCAGGUCUCGCCAUGUUGCCCAGGCUGGUCUCCAACUCUUAGGCUCAAGUGAUCCACCUGCCUCAGCCUCCCAAAGCACUGGGAUUACAGGUGUGCACCACCAUAUCCACUGCACCCACCUCCAGCCACUUUUAACCAUAUCUGUUCCAAUUCUUCUUGAGGACACCUCCGUAAUUCUAAUCUUUGAUCAUCUUUAGUCUUUUUUUUUUUUUUUUUCCUGGAGACGGAGUCUGACUCUGUUGCCCAGGCUGGAGCACAGUGAUGCAAUCUCAGCUCACUGCAACCUCCACUUCCUGGGUUCAAACGAUUCUCCUGCCUCAGCCUCCUGAGUAGCUGGGAUUACAGGUGCCCACCACCACGCUGGGCUAAUCUUUGUAUUUUUAGUAGAGACAGAGUUUCACCAUGUUGGCCAGGCUGGUCUCAAACUCCUGACCUCAGGUGAUCCACCCACCUCAGCCUCCCAAAGUGCUGGGAUUACAGGCAUAAGCCACCGCAUCCAGCCAAUCAUCUUUAGUUUUCACUAACUUCCUGCUCUGACAGGUGAGGAUCUGACUCACAUCCGCUGCCAAUUCCUCUCAUAUUACAUUUCAAGCUUUAAUUUUCAUCUUCUAAAUAAACUUACAUAUCAUGUUUAAAAGCCUACUUCCUAAAAGGAUGGUAAGGGAAACCUCUACUCUCCACUACUACUUUCCCCAUCUACUCUCCCACAUCUGCAGGUGGGGCUGACAUUGUCAGUGACAGGAAUAAUGACAACAGUGCCCUACCCUACGGCCACUAUGAAGUUGUCAGGUCACAGCCAUGUGUUACUUCCUAAAAAUUAAAAGCCAAUACAGGCCGGGUGCAAUGGCUCAUCCCUGUAAUCCCAGCACUUUGGGAUGCCAAGGUGGGCGGAUCACAAGGUGAGGAGUUGGAGACCAUCCUGACCAACAUGGUGAAACCCUGUGUCUACUAAAAAUACAAAAAUUAGCUGGGCGUGGUGGCACGUGCCUGUAAUCCCAGCUACUCAGGAGGCUGAGGCAGGAGAAUUGCUUGAACCCGGGAGGCGGAGGUUACAGUGAGCCAAGAUCGCGCCACUGCACUCCAGACUGGGCAACAGAGACUCCUUCUCAAAAAAAAAGAAAAAAAAAGCCAAUACCUAGGGUUCACGUCACAGCUAUGCAAAUGCCAUUCCCUGAAGGGUCAAUCAACAAUCUGACUGCAUCUCCUCCUCCUUUAUUCAAAUUUCAUGAGCUUUUUGCCCCCUCCAGCAAGAAUUACUCACAUCAGUGUCAAGUGAACACUACUUUCUAAAGUUACCUUCACAUAGGAACUAUAACCAUCUAGCAGAAUUUGUAUAGUUUGAGCACAAUUUACCUUGAAGCCUUCAAUUAAAAUUACCUUUUUUUUUAAGUUAUGGGUGAAUAAACAUUCCUUUUCUUGCCCUAUUCCUUUUCUAGAUUAAAGCUAUUCCUUUCUUAGAUUCAAAACUAUUUUCUCUAGAGAAGGUUCUGCCAUGCCAUUUGCUCUGUUUUGAGACAGAGUCUCAUUCUGUCGCCCAGGCUGGAGUCCAGUGGCAUGAUCUAGACUCAUUGCAACCUCUGCCUCCCAGGUUCAAGUGAUACUCCUGCGUCAGCCUCCUGAGUAGCUGGGAUUGCAGGCAUUUAUCACCACACUUGGCUAAUUUUUGUAUCUUUAGUAGAGACAGGGUUUCACCAUCUUGGCCAGGCUGGUCUCAAACUCCUAACCUAGAGUGAUCCACCUGCCUCGGUCUCCCAAAGUGCUGGGAUUACAGGCGUGAGCCACCAUGCCAGCCCUGCCAUCUUUUUUUUUUUUUUUUUUUUUGAGACAGAGUCUCGCUUUGUCGCCCACGCUGGAGUGCAGUGGCACAAUCUUAGCUCACUGCAACCUCCACCUCCUGGGUUCAAGCAAUUCUCCUACCUCAGCCUCCCAAGUAGCUGGGAUUACAGGUGUGAGCCACCAUGCCCGACCCUGACAUUUUUUUUGUUUGUUUUUUUUUGAGACAGAGUCUCGCUUUGUCGCCCAAGGCUGGAGUGCAGUGGCACAAUCUUAGCUCACUGCAACCUCUACCUCUCGAGUUCAAGCGAUUCUCCUGCCUCAGCCUCCUGAAUAGCUGGGAUUAUAGGCGGCUGCCACCAUGCCUGGCUAAUUUUUGAAUUUUUAUUAGAGAUGAGGUUUCACAAUGUCGGCCAGGCUGGUCUCAAACUCUUGACUUCAGGUGAUCUGCCUGCCUCAGCCUCCCAAAGAGCUGGGAUUACAGGCGUGAGCCACCACGCCCAGCCUGCCAUCUGUUUUUAGUCGUGGUGUUCUCAGUUUUCCACGAUGCAUGGGUCUUAUUAAUUCUGAUAAUAAUGGCAUGACCUGAAAAUUUCCUUUCAGCCCUGGGGAAGUUUCCCUUUCUUUUUCUUACUUAUUUGUUCAAUGUGGAAAGUAAAAGUUCCUCUUCAAAGUUUCCCUUCUUGUUAAAGAAUAAAUCAUAAGUGUUAAAAAAUAAUAGUUUCUUUUAUAAACUAACUUCCUUGAAACCUCCUUGCUUUGUGCUAGUAAGUCUUUGUUAGGCCCUAUCCUAUGUAGCUGGUAAACAUGCUCACAGGCACGUAGUACGUUCUAUGUCCCUGUACCUUAACCAAGUUAUUUGUGCUGGACAUGCUCAUGGUCACGUUCCAGCUUACAGCCUAUGCUCCUUCCAUAUCUGGCAUAAGCAACUUCCUCUUUUCCUUCGUCUUUCCACUACUUUUACCUAUUUAGAAAAGUUUUAAACUGUUAGCUAAUCUAGUUUUAGUUUAGAUUGUGCAGGCUGGCUCCAGCCAACGGAGACAGGACACAGUAGCAGGGACAAACUGCCUAAGGAAUAAAAAUUGCUUCCCUCCUUUGUUCAGGUGUGCUCUUGCCAUUGUUCCAUCUGUGAUGAGCACCCUUUCUGCAGAAAGUAAAAACGGCCUUGCUGAGAGAAUUAAAUUUAUGUUUUGAGUGCUAUUUCUUUGCAGCACCAGGCAACAAGCAUUCUGUUUCUCACUAAACAUUGUAUCUAUAACAUUGAACAAUCUUACUUGUAAUUUCAAAGAGCCUGUUCUGGUUCUCAUUGUUCUAUUUUAUCAAAGUAUCUUAUUUUUUAUUUUUAUUUAUUUUUUCUGAGACGGAGUUUCACUCUUGUUGCCCAGGCUGGAGUGUAAUGGCACUAGACCUCGGCUCACUGCAAUCUCCACCUCCCAGGUUCAAGCGAUUCUCCUGCCUCAGACUCCUGAGUAGCUGGGAUUACAGGCAUGCACCACCAUGCCCGGCUAAUUUUGUAUUUUUAGUAGAAACAGGGUUUCUCCAUGUUGGUCAGGCUGAUCUCAAACUCCCAACCUCAGGUGAUCCGCCCGCCUCGGCCUCCCAAAGUGUUGGGAUUAUAGGCGUGAGCCACUACGCCCAGUCUGUCUUAUUUUUUACUGGUAACCCUCUUUUUUUUUUUGAAACGCAGUCUCGCUCUGUUGCUCAGGAUGGAGUGCAGUGGCGUGAUCUCGGCUCACUGCAAGCUCCUUCUCCUGAGUUCACGCCAUUCUCCUGCCUCAGCCUCCCGAGUAGCUGGGACUACAGGUGCCCGCCACCAUGCCCAGCUAAUUUUUUGUAUUUUUAGUAGGGACGGGGUUUCACCUGUUAGCCAGGAUGAUCUCGAUCUCCUGACCUCGUGAUACGCUUGCCUCGGCCUCCCGAAGUGCUGGGAUUACAGGCGUGAGCCACCGCACCAGACCUUUUUUUUUUUUUUUUUUUUUUUUAGAUGGAGUCUCGCUCUGUCACCCAGGCUGGAGUGCAAUGGCAUGAUCUCGGCUCACUGCAACCUCUGCCUCAGCCUCCCAAGUAGCUGGGAUUACAGGCGCCCACCACCACACUCAGCUAAUGUUUGUAUUGUAUUUUUAGUAGAUAUGGGGUUUCACCAUGUUGAUCAGGCUGGUCUCGACCUCCUGACCCCACGAUCCGACCGCCUCGGCCUCCCAAAGUACUGGGAUUACAGGCAUGAGCCACCACACCCGGCCUUGUAACCCUUUCUUGACUCACUUUUACGUUAACAAAAUGCUUUAAAUAUUUGAUUCUGCUGGGUGCGGUGGCUCACACCUGUAAUCCCAGCACUUUGGGAGGCCAAGGUGGGUGGAUUACUUGAGGUCAGGAGUUUGAGACCAGCCUGGUCAACAUGGUGAAACCCCGUGUCUACUGAAAAUACAAAAAAUAGCUUGGCAUGGUGGCACGUGCCUGUAAUCCCAGCUACUUGGGACAUUGCGGCAGGAGAAUUGCUUGAACCUGGGAGGCAAAGGUUGCAGUGAGCCGAGAUCGUGCCACUGCACUACAGCCUGAGCAACAGAAUGAGACUCCGUCUCAAAAAACAAAGAAUAUUUGGUUCCUCUGAAUAUCUGUCUUUUCUGCUGUCUUAGAUACCUUCUCUCAUGAUGGAGACUUUAUCUUUUGCUCCUUGCCUCCCACCCAUAUUGAAGAGACUAUCAGAAAGCAGACAGGAAGCUCCACAGACAGGCGGGGCUGCUUUAACAGUACGCUUUGCUCGAGGGUGAAGAGGGCGAGAACCAGCUAUCAGGAGAAAGGCAGAGGGAGAUUUGAAACACAGAGGAGGUGAUGAGAAGACACAGCAGAAGAUAUCUGAAGACUGGAAAGAAUGCUGCAACCAACAGGAGAAGGAAAAGACAGAAAUGUGUUUUCCAUUUGGAGCAUCCAGAGGGAGCACAACCAUAUCAACACCUUGAUUUUGAUCCAGUGACAUUGAUUUUGGACUUGUGGCCUCCAGAACUUUUAGAGAAUAAAUUUGCAUUGUUUUAAGCCAACAGGUUGGUGGAAAUUUUUUACAGCAGCCACAGGAAGCAAACACAGACUCCUAACUGGUGCUUAGUCCUAGAAUAUCAGUUUCUGUUCCACUUCUGGAUCUCAUAAUUGCAUCUCAGACAUCAACACUGACUUCAUAUUCUUAAUGCACCAAUUCUACCAUUUCUUCAGGCUGCAAACAGAGAAAAACUUAUUUAAGCAUUCCAGAAUUGACCCAAUAGAAGACUCUCCAGAAAAGACUGCAUGGUCUCUGAAGCAGCAUGAUCAGCAUGACUGGCUGCAUCUGGGCUCCACCGUUUGCCACUUCAGACAGGUCCUUAGCCUCUUAGAGGUUCAUUUUCCUUGCUGUAGCCCGGAGUAAGAAUGUUUAGCCUACAAGAUUUAUUUUGAGGCAUCAAUGAAUCACUAUGUGAGCCUCACACAGUGUCUGGCACUGAUAUUACAAAAUAUGGUUGAUCUUGCCAUCCUUGUUAUUGUCCUGGUGGGGAUUCCUCUCUGUUGAAGAUACGGAGCCUCUAAAAAUGAGUGGCAGAGGCUCCCAGCUCAGGAUCCUUGUCCAGGUCCUAAAGAUCCUCCACUCUGCUUGUCACUCUGUUCAUUAUGUUUGCAUGGCCACCACGGUCAACACUACUGCGGCCUACCUCAAGUUCUCAUGCCUCACUCUCUGAGCUCAUGAGGACACAAGGAUCCUUUGGCAACACAUUAACUACACUCUGUGGCCAUCCCUUGACUUCUGAGAGGAUGUUUCCCUCCUCUCAAUCAAAAGCUCUCUUCCCUCCUGGGCAAGAUCCUUGCAUGCACCCAGCACCCUCACACCUGGUGCCCUCACACCCAGCACUCUCACACGUGGUGCCCUCACACCCAGCACCCUCACACCCAGCACCCUCACACCUGGUGCCCUCACACCCAGCACCCUCACACCUGGUGCCCUCACACCCAGCACCCUCACACCUGGUGCCCUCGCACCCAGCACCCUCACACCUGGUGCCCUCGCACCCAGCACCCUCACACCUGGUGCCCUCGCAACCAGCACCCUCACACCUGGUGCCCUCACACCCAGUGCCCUCACACCCAGCACUCUCACACUUGCACUGUCCUCAUCCCAACUCUGUGGUUCCUCUGGGGAAUCACUGUGGAAUCCCUCAUGGGAGGAUGUUUUCAAAAGAAACAACAGCCCAAUGAAGGGUAUUUGAGGAUGAGAAGCAGGAAAGAAGUCAGUGGGUGGCUGAGUUGUGUCCAGGUUUUGCGUGGCCAUGGAAAAUCAGGUGAAGGACAUUAAAUAUCUUGCAGUGGCUUCUCCAUUAGGAGCAUGAAAUGAGGAAAGGGGCUGUCCUCACAGGCCAGCCAAGAGGGAUGCCUAUGCCAAACAGAAAGACUGACAGUAAACAGAAUCCAGGAUGACAUGACUGAGGUAUGGUGUGCAGGGCAUGGCCCAGGGAGGAGGGUAGAUAAGUAAGCCUGGGUGCACCUUCAGAGGAAGAAAUAACAGAGGCUGCAGGCGAGAGAGUUACAAGGAAGGAGGAGCAGGAAGACACGAGAAAAAUUCAGAUAAACUCAACAUCUCCAGCCUGGGGGAAACGUGAGAGGGUGGUAUGAAGAUACACACGAUGCAUGUUGCUUAGUGAAAGCAGCCAGUCGGAAAAGGCUACGUAGUGAAUGACCCCAACUAUGACAUUCUGAAAAAGGCAAAACUAUGGAGACAGGAUAAAGAUCAGUGGUUGCCAGUGAGGCAGGAGAAUAGGGUCUGGGGGCAGGGAGCCUAAGGCUGAUUCAUGCUGACUUCAUGAACGGAAUCAAAAGGAAAACCCUAAAUUUCCAUGCCCACGUAACAAAAGGAUCAGAGGCUACUCCCUUUGCAACUCCCCCCAACUUUCUGUGUUGCAGAUGAAAAAUGGAAAGUGCCUCGGAUUGGUCCCCUCCUGCAACCAGUCAGACAUCUGCAUAGAGCGUAACUUUGUAACUUCACUUCAGCCUCUGCUUGGUCACCUUCCACAACCAAUCAGACUGGUCAUGGGCCACUAUUUCAUAGGGUGUAAACCAAGUGACCAAUGGGAAACAUCUAGAGGGUAUUUAAACCCCAGAAAAUUCUGCGACCAGUGCUUUUGAGCCUUGCUUGGGCCUGCUCCCACUCUGUGAAGUGCAUUUUUGUUUCAAUACAGCUAUGCUUUUGUUGCUUCUUUUGUUGCUUUGUGUGUUUCGUCCAAUUCUUUGUUAAAAAUGCCAAGAACCAGCCAGGCGUGGUGGCUCAUGCCUGUAAUCCCAGCACUUUGGGAGGCCGAGGCGGGUGGAUCACGAGGUCAGGAGAUCGAGACCAUACUGGCUAACAUGGUGAAAACCCGUCUCUAAUAAAAAUACAAAAAAUUAGACGGGCGUGGUGGUGGGUGCCUGUAGUCCCACCUACUCAGGAGGCUCAGGCAGGAGAAUGGCGUGAACCUGGGAGGCGGAGCUUGCAGUGAGCAGAGAUCGUGCCACUGCACUCCAGCUUGGGCAACAGAGUGAGACUGAAAUGCCUAAGCUUGUUUUUACUCUAACUGGUUACUUUGAAUUUUGUCCUGCUUGUCUCUUUAAUCACCUAGCCUUGCUUCUCAUGUAAAUAAGACUCUCUCUAGCUGGGAAGGCCGGACAAACUCCAAUUGACCCCUUAAUUUACAAGACACUAAGGGCUCCUUACCCAACCCCCUUUCCUAAGGAGUUGGCCUGGGUAAACAGAUCCUCAGCAUUUCAAAAGAGCCCAAUUAACUGAUAAGGCACUAACACCAACAAUGUAUGAAGUUCCCAGGAUUUUUCUCAAAGAGAUAACAACAGAAAACCUUGAGUUUGUGUCCGGCAUAGACCCUAUAUAUCUAAUUAUAAUGAAAGAUUUAGAACCUUGCACGUGGUACCGUUGCUCUUCUUGUAACCGUUUAAGUUGUUUAUCUCUCUGUAACCAUUUUGCUUCUGUUGAUUCUUGCAUGUUUUUACUUCUGUAGACUUAUUGCAUUUGAGUCCCUCUCCCCUUCCUAAACCUAGGUAUAAAAGUUAAUCAAGCCCCUUCCUCGAGGCCGAGAGAAUUUUGAGCAUUAGCCGUCUCUUUGGCCGCCGGCUUAAUUAAGGACUCUUAAUUCGUCUCAAAGUGUGGCGUAUUUUUAACUCGCUUGGGUACAACAAGACUCCAUCUCAAAAAAAAAAAAGUAAAAGAACACAAUGCCAAGAACAUAGACACCCUCCACUGGUAACAUAUUUUGGUGAGCCAGCCAGGAGGUAGGCUCGAGGUUUGGGAUUUCUUUCUUUUCUCUUUUUGUUUUCCCUUUUCCAUAUAGGGGAAUCCUUUUCUCUCUCUCUUUUUCCCUUUCCAACUUACGGAUCCUUGGUGGACAGCACAUAAGCAUGCAAGCAACUGUAAGUUUCUGGCCGGAGCCACUCUCUGGUGAAACGGAAAGAUUUCUGUGUGGAAGUGCCUGACCGCUACCACCCAGUUCGGGUGAAGGACCUUAGUCCUUUUCCUUUUUCUCUUUUUCAGAAAAUCUUUCAGCUGCCGUUUCCUACUAGUUCCUUGGUAACUGAGGGCAGCUGGCCAGGGCCACCCUCUGGUGUUGCCUGAAGGCCAAGGCGUAAAUGGGGAUAGCUGCCCUGCCCAGAAGGGGAAAAGACUCUUUUCUCUAUUUUCCAGUUACAGUCCCUGAUCCCUAUCUGUGAUGCAACUGGCAGCGGCAGCUCAUCCAGGGCGAACUCACGCAUAUUUCAGGUGACUUAAAUCCUCUUUUCUUAUGCAAAAUUCUCCUUAAAGUCAGCCUGUAAGGGCAAAAGAUAAUGUAUCUCAUGCAUUUGACUUACCUUCUCUUACUCGAUUUGACUGUCUGAAGACCUUUGGGAUCCACAAGCUUCAGUAGACAUUCUACAUCUCAGACUUCACUGAGGGGAUCCCAUAGGUUGACGGUCAUUGCUUCUGCAUCAAUUUGCUUUCCCUGAAUCUCACAGAAAUUCUCAACCCCAGCCAGGUGCAGUGGCUCACACCUGUAAUCUCUGCACUUUGGGAGGCCAAGGCGGGUGGAUCACCUGAGGUCAGGAGUUUGAGACCAGCCUGGCCAACAUGGUGAAACCACAGCUCUACUAAAAAUACAAAAAAAUUGGCUGGGCAUGGUGGCACACGCCUGUAAUCCCCAGCUACUCAGGAGGCUGAGGCAGGAGAACUGCUUGAACUCGGGAGGCGGAGGUUGCAGUGACCCGAGAUCAUGCCACUGCACUCCAGCCAGCCUGGGCAACAAGACCAAAACUCCGUCUAAGGCUGGGCGCUGUGGCUCACACCUGUAAUCCCAGCACUUUGGGAGGCUGAGGCGGGUAGAUCACGAGGUCAGG
rnacentral:lncRNA from 1 species